AUUGAACGCUGGCGGCAGGCCUAACACAUGCAAGUCGAGCGGAUGAGUGGAGCUUGCUCCAUGAUUCAGCGGCGGACGGGUGAGUAAUGCCUAGGAAUCUGCCUGGUAGUGGGGGACAACGUUUCGAAAGGAACGCUAAUACCGCAUACGUCCUACGGGAGAAAGCAGGGGACCUUCGGGCCUUGCGCUAUCAGAUGAGCCUAGGUCGGAUUAGCUAGUAGGUGAGGUAAUGGCUCACCUAGGCGACGAUCCGUAACUGGUCUGAGAGGAUGAUCAGGCACACUGGAACUGAGACACGGUCCAGACUCCUACGGGAGGCAGCAGUGGGGAAUAUUGGACAAUGGGCGAAAGCCUGAUCCAGCCAUGCCGCGUGUGUGAAGGAGGUCUUCGGAUUGUAAAGCACUUUAAGUUGGGAGGAAGGGCAGUAAGUUAAUACCUUGCUGUUUUGACGUUACCAACAGAAUAAGCACCGGCUAACUUCGUGCCAGCCGCCGCAGUAAAAC
rnacentral:rRNA from 1 species